rnacentral:lncRNA from 1 species
ACAAUAUUUUUUUUGAAAGAACUUUGAAGCCAUUAAAAAUUAAUGAUCCAACAUGAUGUUAUAUAUAUAUAUAUUUUUAAAAAAAUUUUUCUUAUAUUCUGAAAAUUAGUUCAAUUGCUCUCAUGUUGCUAAAAUACUUAAUAUAUUGGGCAAAAGAUCUUAAAUGAACAAGCUUUCAUAUUUAUUAUUAAAGAAUGGUUAGAUUUUCAUUCGUGCUUUCUUUGAAUAUCAUUCUUGGUACUUCUUGAAUUAACUUGAGAAAGAUUCCACCUACACUUGAUUUGAAAACUAUCUUU